UAGGGAAUUUUUCACAAUGAGCGAAAGCUUGAUGGAGCAAUGCCGCGUGAACGAUGAAGGUCUUUAAGAUUGUAAAGUUCUUUUAUUUGGGAAGAAUGACUUUAGCAGGUAAUGGCUAGAGUUUGACUGUACCAUUUUGAAUAAGUGACGACUAACUAUGUGCCAGCAGUCGCGGUAAUACAUAGGUCGCAAGCGUUAUCCGGAUUUAUUGGGCGUAAAGCAAGCGCAGGCGGAUUGAAAAGUCUGGUGUUAAAGGCAGCUGCUUAACAGUUGUAUGCAUUGGAAACUAUUAAUCUAGAGUGUGGUAGGGAGUUUUGGAAUUUCAUGUGGAGCGGUGAAAUGCGUAGAUAUAUGAAGGAACACCAGUGGCGAAGGCGAAAACUUAGGCCAUUACUGACGCUUAGGCUUGAAAGUGUGGGGAGCAAAUAGGAUUAGAUACCCUAGUAGUCCACACCGUAAACGAUAGGUACUAGCUGUCGGGGCGAUCCCCUCGGUAGUGAAGUUAACACAUUAAGUAUCUCGCCUGGGUAGUACAUUCGCAAGAAUG
rnacentral:rRNA from 1 species